CACACACACAAGGCCCUAUAGGAGGAUAGAUGCAAUGAAAAAGAAAUUGUAAAGCCCUUUUAAAAAGCAUUUCACCAAUGUGAUUUCGGUGUUCACCACAAGCCCAUGAGAAAGAUGUUAUGGCCCCAUUAUAUCGGUGAGGAAACUGAGACUUGCAUUUGUUAAGGACCUCCUCAGGUUUAUACGGCUAGAACGGCUAGAACGUGAGAAGCCCAGAAGUGGAAUUCAGGUCUCCUUAUCCCAGGACACUUUCCCUGUAUCCCCCUGCUCCCACCUAAAAUUAAUACCAACAAGUAACAAGCAUGGGCUGCUUCAGAAAGAAGACCAGCAAACCUGUUUGCUCCUGAUAUUCAGUUCCACUGCCCUCUCUCCUCCCCUUCGGAUAGAUGGUCCCCAGAUAGCUCUAGUUCUUACAGACCGCCCUCUCUCCUGACUACCUCUCCUUACAUCUAUGCCACUCAACUGAGUGCUUACUUAACGUUUUGUUUCUCCUGUAUAUAUGUUUGGUUGCCCCAAAAGAUUGAGGGCCCAGACCAUGCUUUCUAUGCCUCUACAUUCCCCACAGCACUCAAAUGCUGGGCUCAUAGCAGGGCUUUCGUAAACACUUAUUUGGUGGGUUGAUAGUGCCAGCAGCUGGGGCCUGGGCAAGGUCUGAGGAGGCACAGGUGGAGAUGAGGGAGAAACCCUCAAAAACAGAUAACCCCUGUGUGAGCCUCACAUCGGUUUACAAAUCAUUUUCAUGCACAUUAUCUCUAGAUCAUGUUUUGAUCCAAUCAACAAAACUUCCCCAAGUGCCUACUAACUGCUGUGCCAAACACCAAGCUGGGUCAGGAGUUGAAUCAUCACAACCUCAUGAGGGUCCUGUGGAUAUACGUGAGCCACCAAGGCAAAAGGGCCAUUUCUCAAACAGCGUGCUGGUUAGAAGGAAGGGCCCACCCCAUUUGUGUGGAUCAGUCUCCCCUUACAUACAUGACAAACCACAUGGGCUUGUUAUGAUCCGUUUGGCACAAUGCCCGGUUCACAGGAGGUCCAGAAAACUGUUCUCAGGAGUGA